AGGCGCUAACCAGAACGCUCAUAUCCCAUUCCCCUUUGCGCGACUAUAAUGUGACGCAAUACUUCAUGUCAACCUUUUAUAUAGUGACUUGUAUCUGAAAUCUUUUUAUAGCGCCUGGGGACGAGACAGCACAAAAAAUAUCAUGACCAUAAGAACACAUUGGUAUCGAAGGUACUAGACUUAGUUCCGAAAUACCACACACUCGAACCGACUUGACCUCGUAGCUCAGUUGGCAGAGCAUUGGACUAGUAUCCCAAAGGUCGCGGGUUCGAUUCCCACCGUGUUUAGGCUAUCCGGUGUGGAUACACACUCAGAGUAACAUAAAAAACAUUAUAUUCACCUGAGUACAUAACACCAAGACACACGCAAAAAUAUGCCCACGAUAAAUUUGCUAGGCGAGGACAAUUUUCCCACCACAAAAUUGAAAUAAAUUAUGAAACAAUGAAUGAAUAUCCGUAUUACCUUUUAUAGUUGGG